UACAGAGGGGGCAAGCGUUGUUCGGAAUUACUGGGCGUAAAGGGCGCGUAGGCGGCCUUCUAAGUCGAACGUGAAAUCCCCGGGCUCAACCCGGGAACUGCGUCCGAGACUGGAAGGCUCGAAUCCGGGAGAGGGAUGUGGAAUUCCAGGUGUAGCGGUGAAAUGCGUAGAUAUCAAGAGGAACACCUGCGGCGAAGGCGGGUUGCUGGGCCGACACUGACGCUGAGGCGCGAAAGCUAGGGGAGCGAACGGG
rnacentral:rRNA from 1 species